GGCCUCCCUCUCAGGCUUGCUGUAAAUGCAUCAGCUGCCACAAACAUUAAAAUUAAAGGGAACAUCGAUGUUAAGCAACGGACAGACUUUAUCAUCACCGGUUUCAUCAAGCCAAGUGCUCACAUUCAUGUGUCUGUCCACAUGGGAGUUGACGGGGCAAUUGGUAAGGCUGGUCUGGAGUGGGUGGCAGGAAUGAGAACAUUGACGAGCCUUGAUGGUGGAAUCCAGCUAAAAAAAGGACAAGACUUGAAAAUCUUCCUAAACACACCACAGGAGACUAUGGAGAUCAUUGAUAUCAGCUCAAGACUUUACAUAACAAAUCCAAAUCGCAAAGAGGAAAUGAUUGGAUCCUUUGAUCGAAGGGAAGCGAGAACCUGCAGUGAAGAUGAAA